AAGACGAUGGCGAUGACAUCGUAGAAGUCGAUGAUGAAGCGGUUGCUCGACGAUUUGUGCACCAGCAGGUGGAGGCGCUCGUCGAGUUCGGAAAAUUCGCUGUAGCGAUUGUCGAUGUCGGC
rnacentral:sRNA from 1 species